rnacentral:misc_RNA from 1 species
UCUCCGUAGGUGAAUCUGCGGAGGGAUCAUUACUGAGUGAGGGCUCACGCCCGACCUCCAACCCUUUGUGAACACAUCUUGUUGCUUCGGGGUCGACCCUGCCGGCACUCGGUCGCCGGGCGCCCCCGAAGGUCUCCAAACACUGCAUCUGUGCGUCGGAGUUUAAAACAAAUUAAACAAAACUUUCAACAACGGAUCUCUUGGUUUUGGCAUCGAUGAAGAACGCAGC